AGUACUAAGAGCAAACUUCAGCUCAUUCAGAGCUCAGUUGGGAGGGAUUCCAUGGGAAGCUUCUGUGGAGUAUAAAGGAGCUAGUGAGUGCCGGGAGAUUUUCAAGAAUGCUCUCAUAGAAGCACAGGAGGUU